AAAGUGAAAGUAGAAACCUUAAAACCAUUGUGACUGUCAGUUGGUGUUUAUGUAUGUUGAGAUGGCUGUCAAGUCGAUUCUUUCAUCAACUUAAUAACAAGUGUUUGUUUUUAUGGCCUAUAGAUGCAUGCAGUAACUUGAGUUCAGUGUCACAUUGCUGCGUCUAAAAAGCCCAAAGCUGAUAAGACUGGCGAUUGAUCCUAAAGCUGAUUUGACAGAAGAUUGCAUCUCCACAAUAUUAAAGGUUCAAUAUACAGUCAGCCUCUCAUAAGAAUAAAUCCCAAGAUCCAAGACUUGCUUAAAAGCUUAAUUAAGAGACCAUUCUGUGCCACAAAGAAAUUGUUCAGGAAAGGGAGAAAUGGUGGAUUUGCAUUUUGGGUACAGUUCAAAGAGAGUUCAAAAUGGUCAAGCUCAUGGAAUAUCAGAGGGAGGACAACUGAAGAAAACUGAAAGAUACAGAAGGAAAAAGAACAAGAAAAUAUAUAAAAUAUUUAUGAAAUUGGGAGGAUGUACACA